CCUACGGGAGGCAGCAGUGAGGAAUAUUGGUCAAUGGGCGGAAGCCUGAACCAGCCAAGUAGCGUGCAGGAUGACGGCCCUACGGGUUGUAAACUGCUUUUAUACGGGAAUAACGCGCCUUACGUGUAGUGCUUUGCAUGUACCGUAUGAAUAAGGACCGGCUAAUUCCGUGCCAGCAGCCGCGGGAAUACGGAGGGUGCGGGCGUUAUCCGGAUUUAUUGGGUGUAAAGGGAGUGUAGGCCGCAUGCCAAGGGUGCUGUGAAAUGUCCGGGCUCAACCCGGGGCUUGCAGCGGAAACUGGAGUUCUUGAGUCCGCGGAAGGCAGGCGGAAUUCGUCGUGUAGCGGUGAAAUGCUUAGAUAUGACGAGGAACCCCGAUUGCGAAGGCAGCUUGCUGGAGCGGAACUGACGCUGAUGCUCGAAAGCGCGGGUAUCGAACAGGAUUAGAUACCCCGGUAGUC
rnacentral:rRNA from 1 species